rnacentral:rRNA from 1 species
AACGAACGCUGGCGGCAUGCCCAACACAUGCAAGUCGAACGAGACCUUCGGGUCUAGUGGCGCACGGGUGCGUAACGCGUGGGAACCUGCCCUUAGGUUCGGAAUAACUCCCCGAAAGGGGUGCUAAUACCGGAUAAUGUCUUCGGACCAAAGAUUUAUCGCCUUUGGAUGGGCCCGCGUUGGAUUAGCUAGUUGGUAGGGUAAAAGCCUACCAAGGCGACGAUCCAUAGCUGGUCUGAGAGGAUGAUCAGCCACACUGGGACUGAGACACGGCCCAGACUCCUACGGGAGGCAGCAGUGGGGAAUAUUGGACAAUGGGCGAAAGCCUGAUCCAGCAAUGCCGCGUGAGUGAUGAAGGCCUUAGGGUUGUAAAGCUCUUUUACCCGGGAUGAUAAUGACAGUACCGGGAGAAUAAGCUCCGGCUAACUCCGU